CGCAGUGUUUACUGGCAGAGCCAAGAAGAAAGCUACGAAUAACCUUUAAUUUUCUAAAUGUAUUUUCUCUGGUAAAAAUUAAGACCUAUAAAAGUAUCUAAAAAAAAUGAAAAUAUAUCAUGUGCUGUGGACGGAGGUCGAUACAAAGAUUACGAGUGUUCUGAUCGAUAAACAUGUUAAGAAUACAAAAUCCAAGACGCUAGAAAAAUUGGGAGUUGGAUGGCACGAAGCGAAAGUGAUAAUCAGUAGUGAUGAUACGGAUGAUUUAGAAUCGCUAGACGUCAGCGUUCGCAGUAAGGUCGUGACACCUAAAAGGAGGAAAUCCUUUUUAGAUGCCGUAAUCGCAAAUGAAUACGAAGCUUCAUCAAAGAAGAGAAAAGUAACUGAUACGAUAUCCAGAAUAAACACAGAUUCAGAAUCAAAAGUCUCGGCCCAUUCAAUUUUUAGCGAAGAUUUUAACAUCGAAGAAGAAUUGUACACGUACGUAUACUUUCAUACAAUAACGUGCAAGCAGAAUCCUUCUAGUUAUGUAAUACUCUUUUGUGGUUUACUUAUUUAUUUUACAUACGUUUGUAUACGGAGAGUAUGUUAAGGAGGUUGUUAUGAACGAGAAUAUAAAGUUUAAAACUGAAUCGAACGAGAAUAAAAGAACAAGGAAAAGGAUAGUAGAGAGCAACAACGAUGACAGUAUGAACGAUAAAGAGAAAGAACAUGAUAUCGUCGGUGGUUUGGUAAAGAGUGAAAAGAACCAUGACGAAAGCGAGUAUAAUUACAGCAAAUUCAACUAAGAGGAGGUUAAGAAGGCUAAGAUUCAACUAAGUGUAAAAAAGAGAACAGAAAACAAACCCGUAAAGGUAAACAACGAUAAACCGAAGAUAGAUGAUUUCGAGACAUUGGUGAAUGGCGAGCAGAGCGUUGUAAAAAUAGAGCAUGAUGAGGCCGAAAUCAAGAAUGACAAGCGGGAUGACGUAGCCGAUGACAAGAUAGCUAGUCGAGAUGAAAGCGAGUGGACCCCUGAUAACGAAGACAAGGGAAACUACGAAAACAAAUCUGAUAACGAGGAGCACCAAAGCGCCAUCGCUGAAAGACGCCGCAAACCUAGUAUCAGGGAAUCCCUUAUUUCGGAUCAUCCCGAAGAUGGAAAAGUAAAGCUCAUCAGUGGUUCAAAGAUCUAUAUAAACAAAACAGAAUUAAAACUUUUAAAAAUGCAAUAUCGAUCAAAACCGGAACAGUUUACUCGGCGGCUAAUUAAGUUGAUUAUCGGUGAAGACGAACUGAAAUCCAUGACUCCUACCGGAUGGGGGCGAACUAAGCGCAUACCUUUGCCAGUUUACAAUGCCGUUUUUACUGAUUCUCAAUUAAAUGCUUCACAAUAAAGCCCAUCACUUUUUUAAGAGAGGAUUAAAAAACAUCAUCCAAGUUUUAUAUAACAUAUGGAUGUGCAAAUCAUCCCUGUAGCUUACAGUUUUUUGUAGCAUUUAGUUUGCGCACAUACGUACAAUGAUUAAUCAGGUUUCUAAGCUAAUUGUUACAUAUUUUUUUUAGUUUAUGUGAAUAAAAAGAUACCGCCGGAUUUUAAUAGAAUGUUGGAAAGCCGUAGCCGCCUGAUCCUCAUUAACAUGUGCUACAGCUUAAGAAAUAAAAAACAAAGAAGACGUGCAUUUGAUUAGAUGUCGCUUGGAAUAUGAGUUUUAUUCGAGUCACGUUAGUUACGUAUGCGCAUAAUUACGACCCUGUUAUUACCUAAGUGUAAAAAGUAAAAAGUCUAGUUUGUGUCAAUCUUGCAAUACAUUCUUGUUUCGCAUGUCUCAAGAAACCUUUUUAACGUUAUGUUAAUUUAAUAAACCAUAUGUUACAAAAUGUA